GUCCUACGGGGGGCAGCAGUGAGGAAUAUUGGUCAAUGGGCGGGAGCCUGAACCAGCCAAGUCGCGUGAGGGAAGACGGUCCUAUGGAUUGUAAACCUCUUUAGGCGGGGAGCAAUGCCGGGCACGUGUGCCCGGAGGGAGAGUACCCGCAGAAUAAGCAUCGGCUAACUCCGUGCCAGCAGCCGCGGUAAUACGGAGGAUGCGAGCGUUAUCCGGAUUUAUUGGGUUUAAAGGGUGCGCAGGCGGUCUGUUAAGUCAGCGGUCAAAGCCCGGGGCUCGACCCCGGCCCGCCGUUGAAACUGGCA
rnacentral:rRNA from 1 species